CAAAGAUGGACCAGACCUUCUCAAUGCGAAGAUGUGAGAUUGUGGAUGCAGAUGGAGCAUUGGCCAGCUCUUUUUACAGAGAUACCAGUGUUUGCAGAGUUUGACAGGAUAGUCACCACAGAUCUGCCGACUGCAGAGUAACUUUUAAGGUGCUGUGGAUCGCAACACACCAUUUUUGUCACAAGUCUUCAAGCAUUGGAGAGAAAUUUGAUGAUCUUAUGCAGCAAAUUAAUAACGGGGUUUGUGAUGUUGAUGAAGCCUGGGCACAAGUAUCUGUUGGGGUGCUGACUGUCAUUGACGAAGAAGAAUCUCUCUCUCUCUCUCUCUCUCUCUCUCUCUCUCUCUACCUUUGCCCACUGCCAUCAUUGUUGAGAGAGGUAUUGUAAUAAUCUGCAGAACCUGCCUCAUGCAAUUUGCAUCUAUUUAGGUCUGUC